rfam:Triticum aestivum genome assembly, contig: Triticum_aestivum_CS42_TGACv1_scaffold_640910_T_4AL-0.101659_1BL-0.059151
UGUGUACUCCCUUCGUCCGGAAAUACUUGUCAUCAAAAUGGAUAAAAAGAGAUGUAUCUAGAACUAAAAUACAUCUACAUACAUUCUCUUUUAUUCAUUUUGAUGACAAGUAUUUCCGGACAGAGGGAGUACAUG